GCUAAAACUAAAAACAAACUAAAAACUACUUCCAAAAAUAUUCAGCUUUGAUAUUAAUGAGUUUUUUGGGUUCAUUGAGAACAUGGUUGUUGUUCAAUAAUAAAAUUAAUCCUCAAAAAUACAACUUGCCUAAUAAUUCUGCACUCCCUGUAAGUAUGCUGUGUUAGGUUUUCAACAAACGUGGCGCUGUGCAUUAUGGCCAAACAUCUCCACUUUGGUCUCACCUGUCCAAAGGACAUUGUUCCAGAAGUCUUGGGGUUUGUUCAGAUGCAACUUUUCAAACAAACAAAGCUGUGCUGCCAUGUUCUUUUUGAGUCAGUCUUUUUGUAACUGUACUGUCAUGAACGUUAACAUUUAACAUGCAAACUGAGUACUUUAGAGUCAUAAUUUUUUUUUUGCAAUUUCUCUGAGCAUUGCACAGUCUAAGUUUGACGUUCACUCCUUUAAAAAUUGUCAACUGUCUUGAAUGUUGUACACGUUUAAAUCUUUCUUACUAUAGAAUGGUGGACUUUAAAUUGUUUGGAAAUAGCCCUAUAACUCUUCCCAGUUUGAUGGGCAGCAAAAAAUGCUUCUCUAAGAUCACUGCUGAUGUCUUUUCUCCUUGGCACUGUGUUAACACACACUUGAAUGCUCCAGAACAGCAAACUGCUAAAACUUCAGCUUUUAUAUAAGUGGUCAAGGUCAGUAACUCCUAUAGAAGCAGUAGGGGUGUACUUAGUUUUUCAC